UCCAGACUCCUACGGGAGGCAGCAGUGGGGGAUAUUGCACAAUGGGGGAAACCCUGAUGCAGCGACGCCGCGUGGGUGAAGAAGCGCCUCGGCGCGUAAAGCCCUGUCAGCAGGGAAGAAAAUGACGGUACCUGAAGAAGAAGCCCCGGCUAACUACGUGCCAGCAGCCGCGGUAAUACGUAGGGGGCGAGCGUUAUCCGGAUUUACUGGGUGUAAAGGGAGCGUAGACGGUUCUGCAAGUCUGAAGUGAAAGCCCGUGGCUUAACCGCGGAACGGCUUUGGAAACUGUGGAACUGGAGUGCUGGAGAGGCAAGCGGAAUUCCUAGUGUAGCGGUGAAAUGCGUAGAUAUUAGGAGGAACACCAGUGGCGAAGGCGGCCUGCUGGACUGCAACUGACGUUGAGGCCCGAAAGCGUGGGGAGCAAACAGGAUUAGAUACCCUGGUA
rnacentral:rRNA from 1 species